rnacentral:rRNA from 1 species
AUUGAACGCUGGCGGCAGGCUUAACACAUGCAAGUCGAACGAGUGGCGGACGGGUGAGUAAUGCUUGGGAAUCUAGCUUAUGGAGGGGGAUAACUACGGGAAACUGUAGCUAAUACCGCGUACCAUAGGAUGAGCCCCAGUGGGAUUAGGUAGUUGGUGAGGUAAAGGCUCACCAAGCCGACGAUCCCUAGCUGGUCUGAGAGGAUGACUGGACACACUGGAACUAAGACCGGGCCCAGACUCCGACGGGAGGAAGAAGUGGGGAAUAUGGCGCAAUGGGCGCAAGCUGACACAGCCAUGCCGCGUGAAUGAAGAAGGCCUUCGGGUUGUAAAGUGCUUUCGGUAGAGAGGCGUUAACUACAGAAGAAUCACCGGCUAACUCCGUGACAGCAGCCGCGGUAAUAC